rnacentral:rRNA from 1 species
AGAGUUUGAUCAUGGCUCAGGACGAACGCUGGCGGCACGCUUAACACAUGCAAGUCGAACGAGAGAAGAGGAGCUUGCUUUUCUGAUCUAGUGGCGGACGGGUGAGUAACACGUGAGCAAUCUGCCUUUCAGGGGGGGAUACCGAUUGGAAACGAUCGUUAAUACCGCAUAACAUAAUUGAACCGCAUGAUUUGAUUAUCAAAGAUUUAUCGCUGAAAGAUGAGCUCGCGUCUGAUUAGCUAGUUGGUAAGGUAACGGCUUACCAAGGCGACGAUCAGUAGCCGGACUGAGAGGUUGAUCGGCCACAUUGGGACUGAGACACGGCCCAGACUCCUACGGGAGGCAGCAGUGGGGAAUAUUGCACAAUGGAGGAAACUCUGAUGCAGCGAUGCCGCGUGAGGGAAGAAGGUUUUAGGAUUGUAAACCUCUGUCUUCAGGGACGAAAAAAGACGGUACCUGAGGAGGAAGCUCCGGCUAACUACGUGCCAGCAGCCGCGGUAAUACGUAGGGAGCGAGCGUUGUCCGGAAUUACUGGGUGUAAAGGGAGCGUAGGCGGGAUCGCAAGUCAGAUGUGAAAACUAUGGGCUUAACCCAUAAACUGCAUUUGAAACUGUGGUUCUUGAGUGAAGUAGAGGUAAGCGGAAUUCCUAGUGUAGCGGUGAAAUGCGUAGAUAUUAGGAGGAACAUCAGUGGCGAAGGCGGCUUACUGGGCUUUAACUGACGCUGAGGCUCGAAAGCGUGGGGAGCAAACAGGAUUAGAUACCCUGGUAGUCCACGCCGUAAACGAUGAUUACUAGGUGUGGGGGGACUGACCCCUUCCGUGCCGCAGCAAACGCAAUAAGUAAUCCACCUGGGGAGUACGACCGCAAGGUUGAAACUCAAAGGAAUUGACGGGGGCCCGCACAAGCAGUGGAGUAUGUGGAUUAAUUCGAAGCAACGCGAAGAACCUUACCAGGUCUUGACAUCGUAUGCAUAGCACAGAGAUGAGUGAAAUCUCUUCGGAGACAUAUAGACAGGUGGUGCAUGGUUGUCGUCAGCUCGUGUCGUGAGAUGUUGGGUUAAGUCCCGCAACGAGCGCAACCCUUACUGUUAGUUGCUACGCAAGAGCACUCUAGCAGGACUGCCGUUGUCAAAACGGAGGAAGGUGGGGAUGACGUCAAAUCAUCAUGCCCCUUAUGACCUGGGCCUCACACGUACUACAAUGGCUGUCAACAGAGGGAAGCAAAGCCGCGAGGUGGAGCGAACCCCUAAAAGCAGUCUUAGUUCGGAUUGUAGGCUGCAACCCGCCUACAUGAAGUCGGAAUUGCUAGUAAUCGCAGAUCAGCAUGCUGCGGUGAAUACGUUCCCGGGCCUUGUACACACCGCCCGUCACGCCAUGGGAGUCGGUAACGCCCGAAGCCUGUAGUCUAACCGCAAGGAGGACGCAGUCGAAGGUGGGAUUGAUGACUGGGGUGAAGUCGUAACAAGGUA